rnacentral:lncRNA from 1 species
AUGUUUGUUGCCGGGAUGCUUUUAGUGUCGUAUGGUCACCUUUUUAUCUCAAACCUUGACUGGGUUUUGAGAUUUAAGCUUAAUGCACCCUUGACCAAGUACAACAGGAAGACUUUCUACACCCAAGAACCUGUUGUUGGGUACAUACAAUACAAACUACCCUUUUCAGAGCAAAGCAACUGGGAAAGGGGAACCACUCUCUUGGUUUUGAAACUUUUCUUGUUCUUUGUGGAUAUUGUAUUACCCGGUUUAAAAAAAUAA